rnacentral:rRNA from 1 species
GACGAACGCUAGCGGCGUGCUUAACACAUGCAAGUCGAACGAUGAAGCCCAGCUUGCUGGGUGGAAGAGUGGCGAACGGGUGAGUAACACGUGAGUAACCUGCCCUGAACUCUGGGAUAAGCACUGGAAACGGUGUCUAAUACUGGAUACGACCUAUCACCGCAUGGUGUGUGGGUGGAAAGAUUUAUCGGUUCUGGAUGGACUCGCGGCCUAUCAGCUAGAUGGUGAGGUAAUGGCUCACCAUGGCGACGACGGGUAGCCGGCCUGAGAGGGUGACCGGCCACACUGGGACUGAGACACGGCCCAGACUCCUACGGGAGGCAGCAGUGGGGAAUAUUGCACAAUGGGCGCAAGCCUGAUGCAGCAACGCCGCGUGAGGGAUGACGGCCUUCGGGUUGUAAACCUCUUUUAGUAGGGAAGAAGCGAAAGUGACGGUACCUGCAGAAAAAGCACCGGCUAACUACGUG